GCCACCGCCGCGCCGCCUGCAACGGCUGCACCGCUGCACCGCCCGCGGCCGGGUGCGUGGCACGCAGCAACAGCGCAGCACCGGCCAACCCAUCGCUGCGAUGCACCGGGAGGGAUGCGGGCGAUGCAGGGGGAUGUGAUGUGAGCGACGCAAACGCCGCUGCCGCCGUGCAAUGCGGCACUGCUGCUGCGCCCAGCAUGCACGGCACCACCACAGAAAUGAGCUGCACCGCUGCUGUGCCCAGCGUGCAGACCUACGCUGCAAUGCGGCACCGCUGAUGCGCCCAGCAUGCAUGCCACCACCACAGAAACGAGCUGCACCGCUGCUGCGCCCAGCGUGCAGACAUACGCUGCAAUGGAGCACUGCUGCUGCGCCCAACAAGCAUGCUGCCGCCACAGAAAUGAGCUGCACCGCUGCUGCGCCCAGCAUGCAGACCUACGUUGCAAUGCAGCACUGCUGAUGCGCCCAACAAGCAUGCCGCCGCCACAGAAAUGAGCUGCACCACUGCUGUGCCCCACAUGCAGGCCACCACCAUGCAACGCAGCACCGCUGCAGCAGGCCACAUGCACAGUGCCACCAUAAAAAUGAGCAGCACCGCUGCUGUGCCCAGCGUGCAGACCACCAGCAUGCAAAACAGUGCUGCCACUGUGCCCAGCAUGCAGACCAAAGCUGCAAAGCAGCACCACUGCUGCGCCCAGCACACAGACCAACACUGCAAUGCAGCACCGCUGAUGUGCCCAACAAGCAUGCCGCCGCCACAGAAAUGAGCUGCACCGCUGCUGCGCCCAGCAUGCAGACCUCCACUGUGCAAUGCAGCACUGCUGCUGCGCCCAGCAUGCAUGCCACCACCACAGAAAUGAGCUGCACCACUGCUGCGCCCAGCAUGCAGACCCCCACUGUGCAAUGCAGGACUGCUGCUGCAGGCGGCAUGCAGACCAUCACCUUGGAAAUGAGCUGCACCGCUGCUGUGCCCAGCAUGCAGGCCACCACCUUGCAAAGCAGCACUGCCACUGCACCCAGCAUGCAGACCAGCACUGCAAUGCAGCACCGCUGCUGCGCCCAGCAUGCAGACCAACACUGCAAUGCAGCACCACUGCUGAGCCCAGCAUGCAUGCCACCACCACAGAAAUGAGCUGCACCGCUGCUGCACCCUGCACGUACACCAACACCGUGCAGUGCAGCACUGCUGCCGCAUCCAGCAUGCACACCACCACCACAGAAAUGAGCUGCACCACUGCUGCACCGAGCAUGCAGACCACCACCAUGCAGUGCAGCACCACCGCUGUGCUCAGCAUGCAGGCCACCACCACAGAGAGGAGCAGCACCGCUGCUGCACCCUGCACGUACACCACCACCGUGCAGUGCAGCACUGCUGCCGCAUCCAGCAUGCAGACCACCACCACAGAAAUGAGCUGCACCACUGCUGCGCCGAGCAUGCAGACCACCACCAUGCAAUGCAGCACCACCGCUGUGCUCAGCAUGCAGGCCACCACCACAGAGAGGAGCAGCACCGCUGCUGCACCCUGCAUGUACACCAACACCGUGCCGUGCAGCACUGCUGCCGCAUCCAGCAUGCAGACCACCACCACAGAAAUGAGCUGCACCACUGCUGCACCGAGCAUGCAGACCAACACCAUGCAAUGCAGCACCACCGCUGUGCUCAGCAUGCAGGCCACCACCACAGAGAGGAGCAGCACCGCUGCUGCACCCUGCACGUAUACCAACACCAUGCAGUGCAGCACUGCUGCCGCAUCCAGCACGCAGACCACCACCAUUGCAUUUUGCAGCAGCUGCACCGCACCCGGCCCUAUGUAGGGUCUCCUCGCCCUCCCCGGGC
ensembl:lncRNA